UACGAAGGGGGCUAGCGUUGCUCGGAAUCACUGGGCGUAAAGCGCACGUAGGCGGCUUUCUAAGUCAGAGGUGAAAUCCCGGAGCUCAACUCCGGAACUGCCUUUGAUACUGGAAAGCUUGAGUUCGGGAGAGGUGAGUGGAACUGCGAGUGUAGAGGUGAAAUUCGUAGAUAUUCGCAAGAACACCAGUGGCGAAGGCGGCUCACUGGCCCGAUACUGACGCUGAGAUGCGAAAGCGUGGGGAGCAAACAGG
rnacentral:rRNA from 1 species